rnacentral:misc_RNA from 1 species
UCAAACUUGGUCAUUUAGAGGAAGUAAAAGUCGUAACAAGGUUUCCGUAGGUGAACCUGCGGAAGGAUCAUUACCGAGUUAGGGUCUUCUAGGCCCGACCUCCCAACCCUUUGCUUACUUUACCAUUGUUGCUUCGGUGAGCCCGUCUUUACUGACCGCCGGGGGACCCUCAAAAGUCUUCUGGUCCGUGCUUGUCGGUGGCCAACUCUUCUAAAUUCUUAACUAAACGUGUCAUUAUCUAAGUAUUAUUUUUAAUAAAAGCAAAACUUUCAACAACGGAUCUCUUGGUUCUGGCAUCGAUGAAGAACGCAGC